UACGGAGGAUGCAAGCGUUAUCCGGAAUGAUUGGGCGUAAAGCGUCCGCAGGUGGCUGUGUAAGUCUGCUGUUAAAGAGUCAUGCUCAAAAUGAUAAGAGCAGUGGAAACUACACGGCUAGAGUGCGUUCGGGGCAGAGGGAAUUCCUGGUGUAGCGGUGAAAUGCGUAGAGAUCAGGAAGAACACCGGUGGCGAAAGCGCUCUGCUAGGCCGCAACUGACACUGAGGGACGAAAGCUAGGGGAGCGAAUGGG
rnacentral:rRNA from 1 species